AUUGAACGCUGGCGGCAUGCCUUACACAUGCAAGUCGAACGGCAGCACGGGAGCUUGCUCCUGGUGGCGAGUGGCGAACGGGUGAGUAAUACAUCGGAACGUACCCAGGAGUGGGGGAUAACGUAGCGAAAGUUACGCUAAUACCGCAUAUUCUGUGAGCAGGAAAGCGGGGGAUCGCAAGACCUCGCGCUCUUGGAGCGGCCGAUGUCGGAUUAGCUAGUUGGUGAGGUAAAAGCUCACCAAGGCGACGAUCCGUAGCAGGUCUGAGAGGAUGAUCUGCCACACUGGGACUGAGACACGGCCCAGACUCCUACGGGAGGCAGCAGUGGGGAAUUUUGGACAAUGGGGGCAACCCUGAUCUAGCCAUGCCGCGUGAGUGAACAAGGCCUUCGGGUUGUAAAGCUCUUUCGGCGGGGAAGAAAUGGCAACGGCUAAUAUCCGUUGUUGAUGACGGUACCCGCAUAAGAAGCACCGGCUAACUACGUGCCAGCAGCCGCGGUAAUACGUAGGGUGCGAGCGUUAAUCGGAAUUACUGGGCGUAAAGCGUGCGCAGGCGGUUUCGUAAGACAGACGUGAAAUCCCCGGGCUCAACCUGGGAACUGCGUUUGUGACUGCGAGGCUAGAGUACGGCAGAGGGGGGUAGAAUUCCACGUGUAGCAGUGAAAUGCGUAGAGAUGUGGAGGAAUACCGAUGG
rnacentral:rRNA from 1 species